AUGAACGCUGGCGGCGUGCCUAAUACAUGCAAGUCGAGCGAACGGACGAGAAGCUUGCUUCUCUGAUGUUAGCGGCGGACGGGUGAGUAACACGUGGAUAACCUACCUAUAAGACUGGGAUAACUUCGGGAAACCGUAGCUAAUACCGGAUAAUAUUUUGAACCGCAUGGUUCAAAAGUGAAAGACGGUCUUGCUGUCACUUAUAGAUGGAUCCGCGCUGCAUUAGCUAGUUGGUAAGGUAACGGCUUACCAAGGCAACGAUGCAUAGCCGACCUGAGAGGGUGAUCGGCCACACUGGAACUGAGACACGGUCCAGACUCCUACGGGAGGCAGCGGUAGGGAAUCUUCCGCAAUGGGCGAAAGCCUGACGGAGCAACGCCGCGUGAGUGAUGAAGGUCUUCGGAUCGUAAAACUCUGUUAUUAGGGAAGAACAUAUGUGUAAGUAACUGUGCACAUCUUGACGGUACCUAAUCAGAAAGCCACGGCUAACUACGUG
rnacentral:rRNA from 1 species